AUUCCUCUUUUAAAUUUGCCCACACAUGUCACCCUCUCAUCUCUCCCACAUAUUUAUUUGCUUUUGUAUAUAAUAAAAAUCAAAAGAGGUUUGUAAAUUCUUAAUGUUCUUAAAUUAUAGAUGUUGCGGUGCGUUAGUAUAUUAUGUAGAUUAAGAAUUAAGAUUACGAUGAAAUAAAUAAAAGAAAAAAAGAAUUUUAAAACGAUAGAUGGUGAUACAAAUAAUAUUAUAAUUUACAAUAAUAUAUAAAUCAUUUUAGAAUUUUAUAAAUAUAUUAAUUAUUUGUAUGCUUUUAAAAAAUAUCCUGGUAUUUUUUUCUUUUAUUUUAGAGAAUUUCACCCCUAUCUGUCGCGGUCUUAAGAGGACAAAUGCUACACAACUAUAUUAAGGGAGUGUUUGGAUUGACGAAUUUAUAGAUUCGACGUAACUCAAGUAUAGUGAUAUUUAAGUUUUACUGGAUUGUGAUUAUUUUUUUGUAGUUUGUUUUGAUGUAUCUCGUACAGUUAGAAAGUUAAAUUCAAUUACUUAUUUUAUUUAUUUUGAUGUAACUUGAUGCUGGUGAAAUCAGUUUUUUGAGUUCUAUUGUUUAUUUUGAUAUAAGUAAAUGGAUUCCGUUAUUUCCUGAAUAUAAUCAUAAGCUUAUUCCUAUAAAAUUUAACCUAUUAAAUAAUUAAAUUUUUUUAUUAUUUAAAAAUAAUUAUAGUUUAUUAUAAAUAAGAUAAUUCUAAUCUAUUAUUAAAGAAGUAAAAUUUAGGUUUUACCAUUUAAUAAAUUUUUAAGAAAAAAUUAAGUGUGGCAGAAGUCGAGUUCGACAUUUUAGAGGAAAAAGUUCAGAGUCGAUAAAUUGAAGGCCUAAAGUAACUUGUGUUACAAUACAUUUUAACUUACAUUAAAAUAAAUAGCAAAAAUAAUAAAACUUGAGUUCCACCCCCACUUACAUCAAAACAAACGCCCCUAAUUUGGAAAAA
rnacentral:lncRNA from 1 species